CUGUGAAGUGACAACCAUUUCAGGUUACUACCUCUUGAAGCUCAUCGAGAGAAUGCCAAGCAUGUGCAAAGCAGUAACCGGAGCAAAGGGUGGCUAUUUUGAAGAAACCAGAACAUGAAACAUGUUUUCAGGUUCAAGAUGCAGUCGAGCUUUCUCUUGCGGCAGCGUUGUGCAGCGAUACGGUUCUUGCUUCUUCGCCUCACAUCGUGGAUGAACUCCAGCUGCUCUGAGCGGCAAAUAAACGAUGCUUCUUACAAGUACCAUCCCUGGAAGAAGAGGAAGAGCUAAACAUGCUUCACUACUAGGGUUGCCACAGUUACUUUGAAAAGGAAAUACUCGCUGCAGGCGGCCAGCACAGCCCGGUGCCCGCGAAACUCCUUGCCCUCCACCAGGACUGUCACAUCGCACAGGAUGUCCUGCUUCCGCUGGUCGUUGAGGCAGAGGAGGAUAUUGGUACAAUGAACCGUC